CAGCAGCCACGGUAAUACGGAGGGUGCAAGCGUUAUCCGGAUUUAUUGGGUUUAAAGGGUCCGUAGGCGGAUCUGUAAGUCAGUGGUGAAAUCUCACAGCUUAACUGUGAAACUGCCAUUGAUACUGCAGGUCUUGAGUAAAUUUGAAGUGGCUGGAAUAAGUAGUGUAGCGGUGAAAUGCAUAGAUAUUACUUAGAACACCAAUUGCGAAGGCAGUUCACUAAGAUUUAACUGACGCUGAUGGACGAAAGCGUGGGGAGCGAACAGGAUUAGAUACCCGAGUAGUCCCUGUCUCUUAUAC
rnacentral:rRNA from 1 species